rnacentral:piRNA from 1 species
UCAAUAAAUAGGGAGUGAUG